rnacentral:rRNA from 1 species
CCAGACUCCUACGGGAGGCAGCAGUGAGGAAUAUUGGUCAAUGGGCGGGAGCCUGAACCAGCCAAGUCGCGCGAGGGACGACGGUCCUAUGGAUUGUAAACCUCUUUUGUCGGGGAACAAAGGCGCCCACGGGUGGGCGGAUGAGUGUACCCGAAGAAAAAGCAUCGGCUAACUCCGUGCCAGCAGCCGCGGUAAUACGGAGGAUGCGAGCGUUAUCCGGAUUUAUUGGGUUUAAAGGGUGCGUAGGCGGACAGGCAAGUCAGCGGUAAAAAUGCGGUGCUCAACGCCGUACAGCCGUUGAAACUGGCGGGCUGGAGUUGGAGAGAAGUACGCGGAAUGCGCGGUGUAGCGGUGAAAUGCUUAGAUAUCGCGCAGAACCCCGAUUGCGAAGGCAGCGUACCGGCGCCACACUGACGCUGAGGCACGAAAGCGUGGGUAUCGAACAGGAUUAGAUACCCCUGUAGA